GAUGAACGCUGGCGGCGUGCCUAACACAUGCAAGUCGAACGAGAGAUGAGGAGCUUGCUCUUCAGAUCGAGUGGCGAACGGGUGAGUAACGCGUGAGGAACCUGCCUCAAAGAGGGGGACAACAGUUGGAAACGACUGCUAAUACCGCAUAAGCCCACGGCUCGGCAUCGAGCAGGGGGAAAAGGAGCAAUCCGCUUUGAGAUGGCCUCGCGUCCGAUUAGCUAGUUGGUGAGGUAACGGCCCACCAAGGCGACGAUCGGUAGCCGGACUGAGAGGUUGAACGGCCACAUUGGGACUGAGACACGGCCCAGACUCCUACGGGAGGCAGCAGUGGGGAAUAUUGCACAAUGGGGGAAACCCUGAUGCAGCGACGCCGCGUGGAGGAAGAAGGUCUUCGGAUUGUAAACUCCUGUUGUUGAGGAAGAUAAUGACGGUACUCAACAAGGAAGUGACGGCUAACUACGUG
rnacentral:rRNA from 1 species